rnacentral:rRNA from 1 species
AUUGAACGCUGGCGGCAGGCUUAACACAUGCAAGUCGAGCGGAGAGAAGUAGCUUGCUACUGAUCUUAGCGGCGGACGGGUGAGUAAUGCUUAGGAAUCUGCCUGUUAGUGGGGGACAACAUUCCGAAAGGGAUGCUAAUACCGCAUACGCCCUACGGGGGAGAGCAGGGGAUCUUCGGACCUUGCGCUAAUAGAUGAGCCUAAGUCGGAUUGGCUAGUUGGUGGGGUAAAGGCCUACCAAGGCGACGAUCUGUAGCGGGUCUGAGAGGAUGAUCCGCCACACUGGGACUGAGACACGGCACAGACUCCUACGGUAGGCAGCAGUGGGGAAUAUUGGACAAUGGGCGGAAGCCUGAUCCAGCCAUGCCGCGUGUGUGAAGAAGGCCUUUUGGUUGUAAAGCACUUUAAGCGAGGAGGAGGCUCUUAAGGUUAAUACCCUUGAUGAGUGGACGUUACUCGCAGAAUAAGCACCGGCUAACUCUGUGCCAGCCGCCGCGGUAAUAC